UCAAGGAUUUUGAUGGGUUUUUCUUUGUUAAGAAAAAUCCUUGUUAAACAUUUUAGACAAAACCAUACAGAUGCUUUUUAGCAGUGAUUAAACCACGCUUGUCAGCUAAGAAAAGCCUCUUUAAGUGAUGCAGGUCAUUGUGCCUGUAGUUUACUGACAGAAACAGAUUAGACUAUCAAUCUAGUACUUUUUUUGUUCUUUCAGAAAGGAAUUUGUAACAAGUCUCUGGCAUGGAGCACAGUUUGCUGUAAAAAGCCUCCAGUGCUGCUGAGUUCAGCAGAGACCAUUAUUUGCUUCUCAAAUGCAAUAGGAGAUGAAUAGAGACAAGAAGUGUUUUUCUCUGCUGCACCAUUGGUCUAUGUUCAUUCCCACCUCAUUGCUUUGCAUCUUCCUCUUUGCAGUAGAAAUGGAGGGAUAGCCAGGAUUUUCAGGGAUUGUACUGCAAGGUGAGAACUGGCGGUUUGAGCACCUGGAGGCUGAGGAGGAAAUGAACUUCUUACCUGGAAGCCUGACUACAGUUAAGCUUCAGCGACUGGCAUGGAUUGUGUUCCUGUGUAUAACUACCUACAUACAAAGAAGUGCAGACAGAGGUUUCUUCUACAACAAUCGAAAGAUGCAGUGGCUGAGACUGCGUGUUAGUCAUCCCCCUCCUGAAGUUAAGAAAACACCUUGUGUCCAAAGCAAUGUUGAAAAUGGUCAAGAUGGCUAUUUGAAAGAGUUUCUAAAAGAAGUCCACAGUGGCUUUGAGUCCUCCACCUCUGUAAGGCUUUGAUUUCUCUCAAUUACUGCUGCAACCAAUAUCUUCCAUUCCUAAAGAAGGCCAGAAAGAGGUGGUAGGAACUGUAGGAUGUGGUAUACUCAAGAUAAAGUUAGGAAAACAAUUUCCUUUCUUCAUACCAGAAAGCAGUGUUUCCUCUGAACUCUCAGAAAUAUUUUUGUCUUUUAAAGCAAAUUAGUUAAAUGUUAUCUUUCUCUUUCAUUUCCUUAACGCAUUUCUUGUGCUUCUCUCUAUAACUUUCUUGCAACCAAGCUUUUCUUUCUGCUCCCCUCCAAACUCCUUUCCCUGGAAUCAGGUGAGAGCCACCGUGGAUGUUUCUGGCUUUGCUGUUAGCUGUGACCUUAAGGGUGAUUAUAUUUUCUUUCGCUUCUAAUUUUAAAUUAUCCCUUACCAGAGGAUAUCUCUAAUUUAUGUAUCUAAUCCCUUCUUAGAAUCCUAGUUCUGACUGUUUGAUAUUAUAGAAGACUUUGCUAAGCAUAAAUUCCUUUAAAUUGGUGGUCUACUGCCAGCUUUCUGCAGAGAUCACACGUAGUGUGUUAACAAUACAGAUGACAGUGGUUGCUUUGCUUAAUUGCUUUCUUCCCGCCUACUGCCUGUGAAAGAGACCUCACUUUCCCUUAAAGUAAUUAUUUCCUUACCUGAGUCACCUGUGUCCCCUGUGAGGAUCCUUCUGGAGGGUGCACAUCUCCUAAACACCACAGCUGUGGCUCUCUGGAAGCUCCCUCAGCACAGCACUUGAAUGGGACACGCUGAGAGGAAGGGGACAGGGUGAGGCAGGCAAUCCCAGCUCACUGUCAGUGGCAUGCUCCCUGGAUGACAAAAGAAAAUUAACAAAGCAUUUUUUAGUUAAAGUGUUGUGAUUGUGACAGCCUAACUUAAAUAGAGAGAAUCUAUUUCACUAGAGCAAAUGAGACAGCUGGAAAGAACAGAUGCGCUUUAGACUGCACAAACUUAUUUAGCAGUUAGAAGCCUAGCUUUGGCAGCCAAACUUUGCAAUGUAUAACAACCUAGAAAAUUGAGCAAGAGCUUCAGCUGAGCAGCCAUGUUCCACUCUACCUGCUUAGCCCCUCUCCAAGAACUGCUGGUGUCCUUCAGGUCCUCUUCAAGUUUCUUUCGCACUUUCUAAGAAAAUGUCUUUUCUCAACUAAACUAAGUCCAGUGUAAGUUCUAAACUUUUUUUUUUUUUUUUUUUUUUUUUUUUUUUACUAAAUCAACAUACCAUCUAAAUGAUUAGCAGGGAAAGGCAGAUUUCUAAAACAUGUAAGCAUGAUGCAUGCUAGAGAUGAUCUGUUUUAUCCAGCAAUUUGGUGCAAGAUAAACUAUUUAGACAGCUCAUCUUGAGCAUCUCCCACCCCAGCACAAGACGUGCAGAAACCCUGGGCCAUGCAUUUCAGCUUCCAAAGAUCAGUUAUGAACGUUCUGCCUUGCCACUCUCCUUACCUGCAAUCUUCCUUUUACUUUUUUGAGCCUGAAAAAAAGCAAAAUGUUGUAAAAGUUUUGUACGAUCUGCUGUUUGUUUCCCCAUGUCUGUAUUAUGACUGUGGACAGCUGCAUUAAAAUGAAAGAGACACUGUGCAUCUCCAAUUCUCAGGUGUCCCCAGAAGCUGCAAGUUCUCAGGCUCUCAAAAUCUGGGCUGCAAUAUCUGCAUUUAUGAGAUUCAAAAUUCUCUCCGAGUUUAUAACAAAACUAGAUUGUGUUUUGCUGUCAUCAGAAUCCACUAUGAUAAACAGAGAUCUGAUGAAGCACUAGGAAGUCUCCUCUUUGUGUAUAAAUAUUUAUGUAUGUAAAUGGGUGUAUGGUUAAUUAUAACUGACAAGAAGAGACUGACAGCAACUCAGAUCCUCUGUCCCCACGGAGAGAUAGAAGUUGCUUGUUGAAGUGUCAUAGCACAUCUCAUGGGCUGUGUAUUGAAUCAUUGAUUAAAUGCUGCAGCAUCUGGGUUGCUAAAAUGCCAGGGACUGCUGAAGAAGGAGGGAGGAAUGUGCACUGAAUACCGAAUAAGAACAGGGAAAUCAUCCGGUUUGUAUUUCCGUAUAUUUCACAAACAGAUCAAGAAUCAGAGUGCUUGCUUUCCCUUUGUGUCUCUCUGCAGACUGGGCAGACCACCUUGCUUUCACCUGCUCACAGGCGGAGUCCCUUGCCCAGGGAGGAGCUGGGAAAGAGUUCCAUGAGAAGGCAGCACAGGCGGCAUGUAAUAAGAAAGGGUGGGGUGAAAGCAACCUGACAGCUGGCUCCUUCAGUGUAGGCAGGCUUUAAAUCUGCUCAUAUGUUUGGAAGAAGGUUAUAUACAACUAACAUUUCUGAAUCAGGCUUGAGUAUCUUUAUUAUUUCCAUUUCCUGUUUUUCCAUUAUUUCUGAUAUUCUUGUUAACUGGGCUUUGUCUUUGUGAGUAAGCUGUUAUCUCUUGACUGUCUUAUAAUGCUAUCUGAAGGGAAAAUAAAUGUUUGGGUGAAAUGUA